UCCUAUCUGCCGUUAUCUUAUGCAGUACCUCCAUUUUCCUUUAUUUUGUCCUCUAUGUUGCAUCCUUCCAACAAAAAAAUGACAACUUCUGGUUACUCAAUUAUGCAACAAGAUGAAUUACGAUUGUUCCUAACUCAACUCAAUGGGAGAGGAAAAGGGAAUUGCUCUAAUGCAUGAUAUAGUGACACAAACUUUUCACUCUUCUCCAAAUGUUUACUCGAUGUGUUUUGGCGCUCAAGUCCACGGUCAAGCCCCUUAUUAGGAUCUGUAUCUUCUGCUAUUGGUGAGCCUCUUUUCCCCCAGGAGGCCAGAUGGGAUAUGAUGAUUAUUUGUAUAUAUUUUCUUUCCUUUUG